GAUGAACGCUGGCGGCGUGCUUAACACAUGCAAGUCGAACGGAAAGGCUCCUGCUUGCAGGGGUACUCGAGUGGCGAACGGGUGAGAAACACGUGGGUGAUCUGCCCUGCACUUCGGGAUAAGCCUGGGAAACUGGGUCUAAUACCGGAUAGGACGAUGGUUUGGAUGCCAUUGUGGAAAGUUUUUUCGGUGUGGGAUGAGCUCGCGGCCUAUCAGCUUGUUGGUGGGGUAAUGGCCUACCAAGGCGUCGACGGGUAGCCGGCCUGAGAGGGUGUACGGCCACAUUGGGACUGAGAUACGGCCCAGACUCCUACGGGAGGCAGCAGUGGGGAAUAUUGCACAAUGGGCGCAAGCCUGAUGCAGCGACGCCGCGUGGGGGAUGACGGCCUUCGGGUUGUAAACUCCUUUCGCUAGGGACGAAGCGCAAGUGACGGUACCUGGAGAAGAAGCACCGGCUAACUACGUG
rnacentral:rRNA from 1 species